rnacentral:rRNA from 1 species
CAAUAGCGUAUAUUUAAGUUGUUGCAGUUAAAAAGCUCGUAGUUGGAUUUCGGAUGGGGUCUGCCGGUCCGUCUUUGAGAUGUGCACUGGCAAGUCCCAUCUUGUUGUCGGGGACUAGCUCCUGGGCUUCACUGUCCCGGGACUAGGAGCUGACGAAGUUACUUUGAGUAAAUUAGAGUGUUCAAAGCAAGCCUAAGCUCUGAAUAUAUUAGCAUGGAAUAACACGAUAGGACUCUGGCUUAUCCUGUUGGUCUGUGAGACCAGAGUAAUGAUUAAGAGGGACAGUCGGGGGCAUUCGUAUUCCGUUGUCAGAGGUGAAAUUCUUGGAUUUACGGAAGACGAACAUCUGCGAAAGCAUUUGCCAAGGAUGUUUUCAUUGA